rnacentral:tRNA from 1 species
GCGGGCAUAGCUCAGUGGUAGAGCAUCGCCUUGCCAAGGCGAGGGUCGCGGGUUCAAAUCCCGUUUCCCGCUCCA